rnacentral:snRNA from 1 species
AUCGCUUCUCGGCUCUUUUGAGCUAAGAUCAAGUGUAGUAUCUGUUCUUCUCAGUUUAAUACCUGGGACGAAAACGAUUCGUUUCCUCUAUGUAUUAAUCGGAUUUUUGAACUUGGAGUAUGGUGCUGGAGCUUGCUCCACCCUGCUCACGGGUUGUCCUGGUAUUGCAGUACCUCCAGGUUCGGCUCACGUUUC